CGCGUAGACGGCUUUUUAAGUCUGGAGUGAAAGUCCUGCUUUCAAGGUGGGAAUUGCUUUGGAGACUGGAAAGCUUGAGUGCGGAAGAGGUAAGUGGAAUUCCCAGUGUAGCGGUGAAAUGCGUAGAGAUGGGGAGGAACACCAGUGGCGAAGGCGGCCUGCUGGGCUUUAAUUGACGCUGAGGCACGAAAGCGUGGGUAGCAAACA
rnacentral:rRNA from 1 species